GAUGAACGCUGGCGGCGUGCUUAACACAUGCAAGUCGAACGAGAAGUGAAGACGGAAACCUUCGGGCGGAAGGCUUUAUUUCGAGUGGCGGACGGGUGAGUAACGCGUGGGUAACCUGCCUCAUACAGGGGGAUAACAGUUGGAAACGACUGUUAAUACCGCAUAAGACUACAGCACCGCAUGGUGCGGGGGUAAAAACUCCGGUGGUAUGAGAUGGACCCGCGUUCGAUUAGCCAGUUGGCGGGGUAACGGCCCACCAAAGCGACGAUCGAUAGCCGAUCCGAGAGGAUGACCGGCCACAUUGGGACUGAGACACGGCCCAAACUCCUACGGGAGGCAGCAGUGGGGAAUAUUGCACAAUGGGGGAAACCCUGAUGCAGCGACGCCGCGUGAGUGAAGAAGUAUUUCGGUAUGUAAAGCUCUAUCAGCAGGGAAGAAAAUGACGGUACCUGAGUAAGAAGCCCCGGCUAACUACGUG
rnacentral:rRNA from 1 species